rnacentral:tRNA from 1 species
GUGGCAGUAGCUCAGUGGUAGAGGUUCUGCUUCGUACGCGGGAAUACCUGGGUUCGGUUCCCGGCUGCUUCC